GCUGGACGGAACACUUCAAGUGACACGCUUUCCCUCUUCUCAUCAAGUGAGCAGCGUUCCGUCAUCAACCCUCCUCCCAAGGCUUUGUUAAAAAGAUGUCUGCCACUGCAGCUGAUGUAGAGUGAACCCUGACCCUCCCAACCACUCCACGACUGAUUCUACUGGUUGCUGGUGAUGGAGUCACAUUGGGCCACUGGAUGAUCAGCAUUGAAAGCCAGGUCAUCUGUGAAGGCACCCAAAAAACCUUCAUCUCAGGGCUUGCUGCAGUUUUCGCAACAUUCUACGUGUUCAACCUGGAAUACCAAGAAGAAGCUGCAAGGACCCUGGAGUUUGUG